GGAAUUUAGCUCAGUGGUAGAGCACUUUCCUACCAUGAUUGAGGUCCUGGGUUUGAUCCCCAUCACCA
rnacentral:tRNA from 1 species